UACGUAGGGUGCGAGCGUUGUCCGGAAUUACUGGGCGUAAAGAGCUCGUAGGUGGUUUGUCGCGUUGUUCGUGAAAACCGGGGGCUUAACCCUCGGCGUGCGGGCGAUACGGGCAGACUUGAGUACUGCAGGGGAGACUGGAAUUCCUGGUGUAGCGGUGGAAUGCGCAGAUAUCAGGAGGAACACCGGUGGCGAAGGCGGGUCUCUGGGCCUGUACUGACGCUCAUGCACGAAAGCGUGGGGAGCAAACAGG
rnacentral:rRNA from 1 species